UGUAAGCGUAUACCAAAGUUGUUGCAGUUAAAACGCUCGUAGUCGGAAUUUGGCAGUUCCGGAAGUGUGCACGUCGUGUGCGCACUUUGCGGGGACUGCUUUUGUGGUCUUGCGUAGGAUGAGGCACUUUCAUUAGUGAACGUCCUCACGCAACCACUCUUUACUGUGAGAAAAUCAGAGUGCUCAAAGCAGGCAUUUGCCGUGAAUGUAUUAGCAUGGAAUAAUAGAAUAGGACUCGGUUCUAUUUUGUUGGUUUGUUGGGACUGAGUAUUGAUUAAGAGGGACAGUUGGGGGCAUUUGUAUUCCGGCGCUAGAGGUGAAAUUCUUAGAUUGCCGGAAGACAAACUGCUGCGAAAGCGUCUGCCAAGGAUGUUUUCAUUGA
rnacentral:rRNA from 1 species